rnacentral:rRNA from 1 species
UACGUAGGGUGCGAGCGUUGUCCGGAAUUACUGGGCGUAAAGCGCGCGCAGGCGGUCCUUUAAGUCUGAUGUGAAAGCCCACGGCUCAACCGUGGAGGGUCAUUGGAAACUGGGGGACUUGAGUACAGAAGAGAAGAGUGGAAUUCCACGUGUAGCGGUGAAACGCGUAGAGAUGUGGAGGAACACCAGUGGCGAAGGCGACUCUUUGGUCUGUAACUGACGCUGAGGCGCGAAAGCGUGGGGAGCAAACAGG